rnacentral:rRNA from 1 species
UAAUGUAUGGGGAUCUGCCCGAUAGAGGGGGAUAACUACUGGAAACGGUAGCUAAUACCGCAUAAUGUCGCAAGACCAAAGUGGGGGACCUUCGGGCCUCAUGCCAUCAGAUGUGCCCAGAUGGGAUUAGCUAGUAGGUGGGGUAACGGCUCACCUAGGCGACGAUCCCUAGCUGGUCUGAGAGGAUGACCAGCCACACUGGAACUGAGACACGGUCCAG